ACUCCUACGGGAGGCAGCAAUAGGGAAUCUUCCACAAUGGGCGCAAGCCUGAUGGAGCAACACCGCGUGAGUGAAGAAGGGUUUCGGCUCGUAAAGCUCUGUUGUUAAAGAAGAACACGUAUGAGAGUAACUGUUCAUACGUUGACGGUAUUUAACCAGAAAGUCACGGCUAACUACGUGCCAGCAGCCGCGGUAAUACGUAGGUGGCAAGCGUUAUCCGGAUUUAUUGGGCGUAAAGAGAGUGCAGGCGGUUUUCUAAGUCUGAUGUGAAAGCCUUCGGCUUAACCGGAGAAGUGCAUCGGAAACUGGAUAACUUGAGUGCAGAAGAGGGUAGUGGAACUCCAUGUGUAGCGGUGGAAUGCGUAGAUAUAUGGAAGAACACCAGUGGCGAAGGCGGCUACCUGGUCUGCAACUGACGCUGAGACUCGAAAGCAU
rnacentral:rRNA from 1 species